rnacentral:lncRNA from 1 species
UCAAUUUACUUUUUAUUGUCUAUUGCACUCUGUUUGCCAAUCUAAAAUUCUGGCACAUAAAUCUGUGAUAGGAUUUGAUUUACAUGUUUGUAAUAACUAUUACGAAGUGGCACAUAGGCAGCAAUUUGACUUCUGGAAGAACUUUAGAAACAGCCGGUUGAAGCAUAUUUUGCGACGGCCGCUUCCUGAGCCUGCAACUGCACCACCAACUUCUGCCCCACCUGCAUUGCUACCAACAAGUGUAGCCCCUCCAGCUGCUCCACCUCCUGCUCCUUCACCUGUUACAGCUGCAGCUCUUUCCCCAAUGCAGUAUGCCAUCCCUCCUGGAUUUGGUCUUGCUAAAACUGGCCCGAGGAAUGCUUCUGUUGAUAGAAGAAAGAGAAAGUAUUUUAUCUCAUCUUUUACUUUUCUCUUACUGUGAAAAAGUUGUCAAAGUUUGUUGCUGCAUGCUCCCUUUUGUUCUGUUUUCAUAGUUUUCUGGUUAGAUAUUUUGACUUAAUGUCUCUAACGUAGUUAAUGACUUGGUUAAUUUGGUUUUAGCAGGAAAGAUGGAUGAUUUUCUUUUACUAAUGACACAGGCAUCCAACCAAUUAAUUCAUGAAUUAAGGUAAUACAUUUUGCACCCCAUCAUUUCGUUUUUAGAAUAUGUGUUGCAGUUCCUCAUUGGAAAAUGCUUUUAUGAAAUCCUAUUAAGAGUGUGAUUUGUUGUAUAUCGAAUUUUAUAGUUCUGACCAAGUCUAAAGCACGACCAAUGACCUCUGAUUUCUUUCUCGUGUCAGAAGACAUAGUACUAAAGUUACGCAAGAGAUCAACUACAGAUUUUUAUUGGGUUCUUCUGGGAUGUGCUUAUUAUUGUUACAAUUGUUUAAUUUCUUUGGCUUGUAGUUCAGAUGUCUGGUGAUAGGUGACUGGAAGAUUGCCAAUGCACACGUAUAGCAAUAGUGGUUAUCAAUGGCGUGAAGAAGUUAUUCCAAUCACCAUCUUUUUUAAUCACAAAGGCAUCAAGAAGAUGCAUAGUUACAAAAAAGGGGGAGAUAUCAGCUCAUACAGAGAUAACAAAAACCUAUCAUGAGUCUAAGAGCUGAUAAGUCGAAAGGUCUAUCAUAAGACGAAAAAGCUAAUAAAACUUGAAAAUAAUCUGGGUUAUAUACAGGGGUAAGAUUGACCCGGCUAAAGAGAGUAAUCAGGCAUCUGGCCUUGACAUUAGAACUGGCUGUUGCAAUACCAUCAAAACAUCUAUGGUUUCUUUCUAACCAUAAGCAUCACAAAAUACAAGCAGGAACCGUAGACCAGAUUCUUCUGAUGGCCUUCCCAAGUUUCCAAGAACUCCAACCAACAAAAAAUUCACUGACAGUGCGAGGCAUAGGCCAUUGCAGACCCAAAAAAGAGAGGAACAUAUUCCACACAUUUGUAGCAACUGGACAGUGUAAGAACAGGUGGUUAAUGGACUCCGAGGUGCAAUGGCACAUUUAACAUUUAUUAGCUAGAAGAAAUUUCCUCUUCAUGAGAUUGUCUAGAGUUAAACAAGAUCCGUUUAAGAUGAUCCAGCAGAAACAUGAAACUUUUGGUGGCAAUUUAGUUUUUUGGAUGAGCUUCCAAGGCCAUUGGCCAAUCAAAUCCUUGUUUGAGCUCAAAAGUAGUUUACCUUCUUUGACAGAAAAAGAACCAACCUUGUUACUGCCCCACUUAAGUUUGUCACUUCUAUGAGUGAGAGCUGAACUGCUCGGCAUACUUCCAAUCAAUGAUAUUAUGUCCUCAAUUUCCCAGUCAUAUGGUGUUUGCAUAGGUGUAAACGCCAUAUGCAGUUUUGUCUUCCUCUAUCGAUAUUGCUCCUUCAAUCUUGUUAUGAGAUGAAUGGCUUUUGUAGUUGAACGUCUCAAUAUGAAACUAAAUUGGUUAUUGGUAAUAGUCACCCCCCCGCACCCGAAUCUCCCACCCUCUUCACAGACUCCCAUAGUGUGGCUUAGCAACUUGAUACCCCUAUGGUUGUUGGCUUGUUGCAAUUCUGAAUCACGCUUGUUCUUGUACAACGGGAUCGUUGUGCUCCACCUCCAUUCUUUGGCAUUUUUGGUGUCCUAAAAAAGGCCGUUAAACAACCUAGUUAGCCACUCCAUGCCUGUUUUAGCUGUGCUUUUCCAAAAUUCCAUCGGCAUCUAGUCUGAUCUGGUCGCCCUCCCCCUUCUCAUCUUGUGAAUAAUCUCCUUAACCUUCCUCAAACUUAAUACCCCUACAAUUCCCGAAAUCUCAACUACUCUCAGGGUGGUCUAAAUUGCUCAUCAGUCAUCACAAUAUUCCUGUCUCCCUCUUUAUUCUAGAGUUUAUUGAAGUAUGUCUGCCAUCUUCGUCUAAUAUGUGCCUCUUCCACCAAUACUUUGCUUUCCUCGUCUUUGAUGCAGUUCACUUGGUCAGGCUUGUCGGCCCUCCUAUCCCCCGCCUCUGGCUAGCACAUACAACUUCCUUCCCUGCCCUUGACUUGUAGUUAUUCUUUUCCCUUUUGACUCUCCCAACUUUGUAUUGUCGAAGUUACUGGUAACUGUCAAGGGCCUACCAGAAAACUGUGCGAAAGAGGAACUUUAUAUGUUUGGCUUGAAAUGAAUGGUGUCACAAUUUAGAAUUGGUACAACCUAGAUCUGUCGACCUGAAAUUAAGUGCAGCACGCUAAAUUGUGCUAGCUGUAUCACUUCCACAAACAUAAUUCCAAGGAUUUCCAUGUGAUCACUCAUCACUUUUCCUUUUGGUCAAGUGCAGUGCUUCCCCAUUUAUAUUCAUGAAUUUUAGUUAGAAAUUAUGUCAGUAAUUCCUUCUCUCGACAGGAUGUACUCUUUCCUGUAUAGUUUACUCAUAAUUCUCCAAUACAAAAUCAAGUGUUCUGCUUAUUUAUUCGGGUUGAUCAAAUUGACCUACUUGUGACUCUCUGACAAUUCAUUAAGCUUGUAUCUGCAUAGGCAGAAAAACGGCUUGUAUCUGCAUAAGCGGAAAAACGGGUUUACUCCAAUGGAGAACAUGAUGUGUAUCUUCCAUUAUCUUGAUAAUGUCAGUUCUUUAAACAAGAAUGGUUCGUUGGUAUCUGCUCUAUCCCUUUCUUCCUCAUCCUGCCUCUUUCCCCUUUUCCCCCAUUUCUUAUUGGGGUUUUCUUUCUCAAGCAUUACCCCAAAUAUAUCAUUUUGCAUUAAAUAUUCCGAUCGGCAUGCAUUGGUUCUUUAAUUAUCCUAUAACAGCUAUGCCGCAUCCUAUGGGAAUCUAAUUUCACAAUCUCUUAUAGGUGAUCAUCAUGGAACUAGGCUACCUCUAACGUGUUAGAAACGAAGUCAACCCUGUUUAUUGCUGCUGCACACGGUUACAAGAAUGGAGCUUGGCUAUGUAUACAGUGAUCUGGUGCAUCACCGCUUGUUGAAUUUAGUUUCUGAUGCCAUUAUUAAUUAUGCACCUUAAUGUUAUGAGUUCUUCAUCACCCCAAAACAAAACAAAAAUACAAAUAUUAGCUCUUCCCAUGGGUCAUCACUCAUCAGCUUACUCUUGCUGUGGCCUGUGGUUUCUGCUGAAGGUAAUAGUGGCUCGUGUGGCAGAGUAAGGAACUUGACCUUUGAAAAUGUAAUGCCAUCGAAACCUCCAUUUCUCUUUUCUCUCAUGCUGGAGAAACGCAUGCCAGCAAAUAGCUAAUUACUGAAUUGGUCCGCUGUGUACUCUAGCUUGAUGAAGUCCUUGAAUGUGGUUUCUUAUCCCUUUUUAUGGAAUGUUGAGGUAAUAUUACGCUGAGGGUUUCUUGUGCAGUAUAAUUGAAGUAUUAGUGGUUUCUUGACAAUGCUAAGCUUGCCCUCAGCCGUGGUGGCAAUUUUAACCCGAAUUUGUUUGACCCUCCCAACCCCCAUAAAAAAUUUGUAUCCAAUCUGCCCAUUUAAAAUUUGGAUAGUAAAUAUGGGUUGGCCUAUUUUCAACCCAUGAUAAAAUUCGUUAAAUACGAAUUGAAUGCUUGUUGAAAACAGUUUGAAAAAUUGUUGGUGUCUGGUGGAAGAUGUAAGAUAUUGAAUUCUAGAGUGCUCAUCUCUGUAUAUGAUGGUUGCUCUCUUUCUUUUCUCAAGGAAUUCUUGUCUAACCUCACAAAUGGAAAGUUUGGGUUUUACCCCUAUCCACUGUUCUUUGUUUCUUUUGGAUAGGAUCUCUCUACUUGUUUAAGUUGUUUACGUAGAUUCCACAAUUAUUUUUAUCUCAUGUAUUGUAUGAAACUAUUUUCUGAUGAUAUUAUUUAUAUGUAUUAUGAAAAUGCUAGCUCUGUGCAACGUGCUUUUGACGCAAGUUUAUUUUUCUACUGACCAAAAUUGGUCUUAAAUUUCUUAUUUAAUUGGUACAUUCUUUGCUAAAAUAUACUCUUAUGACUUCUCACACAUGUACAAUGUGGCAAAACCUUUUUUUACCCAACUUAUCAAUCAAGGAGUCAACAAACUAGAUUGAUAUUAAGACUUCUUAACUGGAUGUUGUUUCUCCUUUCAUUAGAAUGCAUUAGAGGAACUAACCAUUGUCAUUUGUCUAUAAUUGCGAGCUUGGGAGUCACAGAGAUGGCAAUGGGGCGGGGUGGAUGUGGGGCGGUGAGUGAGCUUCCACGGUUUGGGGGUGGGCGUGGGGGGCGCUAAAAGAUAUUUCAAAAUUCUACCUGCAUGUUUUCUUUAAUUUAUGUUGUUUGGACCUAUUCUUAAGUAAUAUCUGCUAUCUGCAUGAAGCUUUGUUAUAGUAUCAAUGAACUUUUAACAUUUGACGACUAAUUAGUUACUUAUAUAUUUUUUUAAAAUUAUUAAUUAAAAGUCCAUCUUUACCUAUUUUAUAAAUAAUUUGAUUGUGCAUAUAAACUCUCUUUAUAUAAGAAAUUUAACUCUUAUAAAUAGUGCUCAAGCAAAAUGGAAUACUUAAAUUGGUACAAAGAUUUUUACUGUUUAAGCAGAAUCUUUCGGUUAAAAAAUGAAUAAAAAAUGAAAAAAAGUCAAAAAAAUAAAUUGGUACAAUGCAUAUUUGUGCUGUUUUAAUAAAACAGUCAUAACUUUAGUAGUGGAUGGACGUUUUAAAACUGAGAAACUUGAUUUCAGGUGUUUGAAUUUUUCUACAGGUGCUAUAGCUAAAUUAUUUUCAUAUUACAAGUUAUGAAUUCUUGAGUCCGGGUUCAUCGAAAAUAGCUCGCUACCUUACCGCUGAGGUAAUAAUGAAUUGCACACAUUAUACCUUUUUAGACUCUACUUAGUGAAAUUAUGUUGAAUCGGUUAUUGUUAUAUUGCAAGUUGUGAAUUGAUUCUCACUUGUUCAUGUAAUAAUUAUGUAUUUCAAUAGUAAAAUGUUUAAUUUCAAAUAAAAUAAUUAGCCCAAGUAUUAUUUUUAUCCAAAGCUUUGCUACUUCAGGUAUCCCCAUUUUUCUUUCGCAAAUGAUUUAUUGAGUAGUGAACAUCCAUAGAACCACUCAAACAUAAAAUUCAAGCAGUAAAAGCUUAUGAAAUAGAUCAAACACAUUAUUUGCACAACUAAAAACAUAUAAAGUGGAGUCUACUAGUGUUUCCCAACGUACCAAAAUUAGUUAGUCACUUCACCAAUUGACGGAGAUGAAAAUUAAUAUAUAAAUCAACUUUUUAUUUAAUUGAUAAUCAUAAUAUAAAGCAGUCUAAACUUCAUUCCUCCAACCCCACCCCCCAAUCCCCUCGCCCAUAAAAGCACAUGCUACAAGAGGUAAAAUUUAAUUAGAAGUGUGUUCAAUCAGACAAGCAUAACACAAUUGGUUUCAUCUUUCUUAUUUUCUUUCUCAAAGUUUAUAUGAUAAUUCUGAAAAACAAUUCAGAUAAAUGAUUCAUAUAUAAUCUUUUGGAAACGAAAUAAAGCUCUUAAAAAUAUAAAGCAUUUGGAUUUUAUUAUGAAUGGUUUACUUAUAUAUGUAAAAAAUUAGUAUCAGGCUUAAUCUUUGUAACUCGAAGGCGAGUUUCAAUUUUCAUUCUAUAAAAGAUGUUUUUUUACCACAAAGUUAAAGAGAUACAAAGAAUUCCAUCUCUCUUGCCCUCAUGUUCCUGCAAAUUCUCUAUCAUAUUCUUCUUCUUCUGUCAUUUUACACCAUAUUAUCUAUAAAAUAUAUGUAGAGAGAGAGAUUGGAGUUCUUGAAUUACUUGCUAUCUUAAAUUAUGACUUUUUAAAAUUAUGUUUUAUUUUUGGGUAAAGGGUCAAAUUUACCCCUAUCCUUUUAUUAAUUAGCUAAACUUAUCCUUUGUUAUACUUUUAAGCUAUUUAUACCCUCAUCGUUAUACUUUUGGGUUAUUUAUACCCUCGCCAUCACGAAAUUUAUCAAACAUACCCUUAAUUUGGAUGAAAACCCCCAAAUCAAAAUAUAAUUCCUAAUUUUACUUAAGUUACCUUGUUCCCUCCUUUGACCCCACCCAAUUUGAUACUCUCGCAUCUAUUUCUUCUUCCACCUCCUCCCAAAGCCACCUCCAACCAUGACUGAAACUAUACCACCCUAAAUCAUCACUUCAAAUUUAUCAAAAUAAUAGCAGCAACUUUUGAUUCUCAUAUUUCUUCUUCAACAACAUUUUCAUAUUUUGAAUAAUUAGAAGAAAUUUCAUUUCUGCAUUUUCUAAUCUCUUAGCAAAUCAUAAUUUUGAAAAUUUUUAGAGUUUUGAUGUAUAUGUAUUCAAAUAACAGAGAUGAUUUUCAACAUGGAAUAAGGUGAAUUAUUUGGCUUUUACUCCAAAUUUGGGGCCAAGUUUCUCUAUUCGAACGACAACAAACUAUAACAACUUAAAUUCAUAAUGUUACUUGUACUUUUUAGUUAUUAUUUGUAAUUAAAGUGGUUUGCACAAGUAAAUGAACUCAUAAGCUACAAGGACCUCUAGGAAGUGUUAAUUCUGGCAUUAGCUAAUUGGGUAAAUGUUGAGAUAUAAAUGUGAAUUAGUAUUAACUUAAGUGUAUAAAGGCCAGAUUUGUCAUAGUAUAAUGAUAGUUAUAACUAACUUGUUCCUUGUAGCUUAUAGUUAGUUAUAGUGGUUAUGUGAACAAGUUGAUAUAUAAUCUUACAAUCCCUUGUAUCAGUUAGUUUUUUGAUGCACAACAACAAAAAACUUCUUCUUCCCUUCUAUUUGUUUCCUUGAUUUCAGUCUUACAUUUACAUACAUAGUAUCAUAGCUUUCUUUGCAGAAAUAACUAACAAAGAUAGUUCGAUCACAGAAUCAAAGAAUCAUUCAUUGAUUUAUGAGUUCAACAAUUUCGAUUUGCUAUAUUUUUCUUCAUUUUACAUUGUUCUUCGAGAGCCAGUAAUCAUCAAAGUUCAAUCGGUUGUAUUAUUUCUUCUAUAGUUUCUCCUUAUUGAAGUUGAAUUCUGUAGUUGGUUCUUGGUUAUUAGCUGAAUUCUGGACGUUCAGUGUUUCUUUUCUUGGAUUACACUGCUUUCGCAACAAAGAACUUGAAAGAAAAUCUGAGAACUUCGAAGGUUCAUGAUGGCACAGGAUGCUACAGUUGGUGAUCUUUCUCAGAAUCUCAAAUUAUGGUGCAUUUACUUUUCUGAAUGGUAAUUCGCUGCUAGAGCAAGGGAUUGACUACAUCCAUUCUUUGCUCCUUAGUCCUACUGAUGUCAGUGGUAUAAACAUUAUCUCUUUCCAAGUGAUUGAUACUGAAAACUAAACUCUAUGGAAUCAAUCUGUUAAGUUAACUCUAUUAGAAAGAAACAUAAUAGGGCUAAUUGAUAGUACAUGCAAGAAAGAGAUGUAUGGAGAAGAACUUUGGGGACAAUGAGAGAGGGUUGAUGCAAUUGUUUUAUUCUUGCUAAUGAACUCUGUUUCUAAGAGUUUACUUGGUGGAAUUAUAUUUUCUAUCAGUGCAUUCAGUGUGUGGGAUGACUUGAAAUAAAGGUUAAAUAGAGUGGAUGGGUCAAGAACCUACAGUCUCUAUAAAGACAUUAUUUCAUUGUAGAAGGAACUACUUUUGUGUUUGUAUACUAUAUCAGACUAAAGAAUUUGUGGGAUAAAUUUGAGGCCUUAGUGCCUUCUCCUUGUUAUAACUGUGAGAAAUCCAAAAGCUUUGUGUUUCAUAUGAAUAGACAGAAGUUAUAUCAGUUCUUGAUGGGUAUGUAUGAUUCAUGUGUUAAUCAGGCUUGUGCCUUAGUAGUUGGGGAUGAAGGACAAAAGGUUGUAUUGUCUAAUGUCAGCAAUAUUGGUAUGAAUUUUGAUGGUCUGGGAUCAAUAACUAUGUAUUCACAAGUUGGUAAUAGCUCAGGGAUUAUUCAGAAGUACAAAAAGAACUCUCUUCUAGUGUGUGAUUUCUGCAAGUGUAAGGGACAUAGAAAAGAGUUCUAUUAUAAAUUGGUGAGAUAUCCACCAGAUUUUAAGUUCAAGAAGAAAAAUUCAGUAGUGAACUCUAUCUAUAGUACAAAUAAGAACAACAAUUCUAGUUGUUAGAAUCAACAAAUCCAAGCUAAUAUUUCCUUUGGCAUGAAUACUAGUGUGCCAUUGUCAGGAUGGGGAAGAAAGAAUGAUUCAUAUAAUAUUGGUUGUUCUACAAGUCAGAGUUCUUCAGUAUCUCAGGUUGAGAGUGAUGUGAAACAACUUUUUUAGGGUUGUAUAUGUACUAAAGAGAAAUGUGAUCAUAUUCUCAGGAUAUUUGAACAAAGUCUAGGACCUUCUACUACUGUAGAUAGAUGUAAUGUUGCAACUACUGCAGCCAAAACAUUACUUGUUUCUGACAAUAGUGAGAUGUGGAUUAUUGAUACUGGCUCAACUGCUCAUAUGGUGUUUAGUUUGGAUAUGUUGGCUAAGGAGUUUAUCACUAUGCUUGAUUUACCUAAACAUGUAUAUCUUUUUAAUAGUGAUUUUACCAUAAUUACACAUUAAUUCUAGUGCUUUAUCAUCUAGGAGUGCAAUUACCAAUGUGUUUUAUAUUCCUCAGUUCAAAUAUAAAUUACUAUCUGUGAGUAAAGUCACUAAGGAACUAGGUUGUUCAAUUACCUUCUUUCCUUAUUUCUAUGUUUUCCAGAAGCUUUACACAGAAAGAGUUUGUGUUUGCUGUUAAGAGUUUGAAAUCAAAGACUAGCAAGGAGUCAACUAUGGAACUGUGGUAUCAAAAACUAGGACAUGUGUCUCCUGUAGUACUAGCUAGAAUUUUUGAUAUGCCUAAACAAAGUAUGUGUAAAAUAUCCAAGAGCUUAGUUUGUCCUUAUGUUAAGCAGACUAGACUUCAGUCUUCUUCCAGUAGUAUAAGAGUGGUGCUUAUUUUGAUUUGACUCAUGUUGACCUUUGGAUUUCUUAUAAUACUCUUACUUUGAUAGUAACAAGUAUUUCACUACAAUUGUGGAUGAUUAUUUCCGAAUGACUUGAUUGUUUUUACUCAGAAAUAAAUCAGAUAUUUAUAUAUCUUCUCAAGUUUUUCUGUAGUUUGAUAAGAAUGUUAAAGUAUUAAGGUCUGAUAAUGGGACAAAUUUGUUAAUACAAUAUGAUGCACUGUUCAAAAGGUUGGGAAUAGUCCAUCAGAGGUCUUGCCCUUACAGCCCUCAGCAAAAUGGUGUUGUUGAGAGAAAACAUAGACAUAUACUUAAGAUGACCAGAUCUUUGAGAUUUCAAGCAAACAAACCUUCAAAUAUUGAGGGCAUUAUGUUUUAUCUGUAACUUAUAUCAUAAACCGGUUGCCUAGUUGUGUUAUUGGUAAUUAAACACCUUAUGAAAAAAUAUAUAGUUGUAAGCCUGAUGUAUCUCACUUAAGAACUCUAGGUUGUAUGUGUUUUGCAUAGAAUCUAACUGAGUGUGACAAAAUGAUGCCUAGAUCAAGGUCUACAGUGCAUAUAGGGUAUUCAGAAAUAUAGAAAGAAUAUAUUCUAUUGGAUCUGGUGAAUAGGUCUUUUUUUGUAAGUAGGGAUGUGAUCUUUAGAGAAGAUCUGUUCCAUUUUUUAGCUGUGAAAAGUAAUAUAAAACAAUUUGUGUUUGUGCAUACCUUACAAGAUUCAUCAGUUAUGUUUCAAGAACUGGUUCAUCCAAUUUGUUUGGCUCCCAACAAUACAUAAUCUUCACCUGUAGAGGAGGUUGCAUUAUCUGAUACUGAUUAAGUCAUGCUAGAUCAACCAGAUGAAGCACUUCUUGAUGUUGUGCUUGAUCAAAUUCAUUAUAAUGAUGAUAUUCAACCAAAUAUUGUAGAUUUUCCUGAGUUGCAGGCUCAAGUUCCACCUGAAUACAGAUUUGAGGUUGAGUCUGAGGCUAGAAGAUCUACAAGGAGUAAACAUAAACCUACAUGGCUAAGAGAUUUUAUUUUCUUGAAUAUCAGUAAGGAUAUUCAGUAUCCCAUGAGCAACUACUUGUGUUACUCUUAUUUGUCUCCAACUUAUCAAUGUCAACCUCAUCCCUUAUAGAACCUGACAGUUACUUAGAGUUUGUCAAAAACCAAAGAUGGGUGGAUGCUAUGCAGGCUGAAAUUCGAGCUUUGGAGAGUAAUAAGACAUGGGAGAUUAAAGACUUAUCUCCAAGGAAGAAACUUAUAGGAUGUAGGUGGAUUUACAAGAUCAAAUACAAGUCUACAUGAGAGAUGGAAAGUUUCAAAGCUAGAUUGAUGGUUAAGUAUUAUAAUCAACAACAUGGGAUAGAUUAUGAUGAGACAUUAUCUCCUGUUGUUAAGAUGGUGACUAUCAGAAUCAUAUUGUCUAUUGUAGUUUCUAAGUAGUGGCAAAUCCAUUUGCUGAAUGUGUUUAAUAGUUUUUUUCAAGGUGGUCUAGAAGAUGAUAUAUAUAAAUAUAUACAUAUAUAUAUAUGUAACUGCCUCAGGGUUUUGUUGGUUAAGGGGAGAAGGUGUGUAGACUGACCAAAUCUCUUUAUAGGCUUAAACAAGCUCCAAGACAGUAAACCAUAAGUUAACUGAAGCUCUUAUUAAUUUCAAGUUCCAAUAGAACCAACAUGACUACUCUUUAUUCAUUAGAAAAACAAAAGAAGGAAUUACUAUAGUACUGGUAUAUGUAGAUGAUAUGUUAAUAACUGGUAGCAGUCUAAAUCUGAUAGAAGAAACAAAUAAGGCACUGCAACAAGCUUUCAAGAUGAAGGAUUUAGGUGAGCUUAAGGACUUUCUAGGUAUUUAGUUCACUAAAUCUACAGUUGGUAUAUUGAGGCAUCAGAGGAAAUAUACUCUUGAACUCAUAUCUGAAGUAGGUAUGUCAACAGCUAAGCUUGCAAGAACACCUAUUGACAUCAAUGUCAAACUAACUUUAAAAUAGUAUGAUGAACAUGUGAAGAAGAAAAAAAAAUCCUAUAGUAGAUCAAACAGUGUAUCAGAAGUUGAUAGGUAAACUAUUGUACCUCAACAUGACAAGACCAGAUAUAUCAUAUAACACUCAAAGAUUGAGUCAGUUCUUGCAGCAACCUAAAAGAUCUCACGUGUAUGUUGCACUUAGAGUUGUCAGAUAUCUUAAGAAACAACCUGGACAAGGUUUACUGUUAUCAAGUAGUACAAGUAGAAAAGUUACUGCCUAUUGUGAUGUUGAUUGAGCAUCUUGUCUACUUAUCAGAAAGUGAGUAACAGGGUACAUGAUUAAAAUUGGCAAUUCAUUGGUUUCAUGCAAAGCAAAAAAAUAAACUACAGUUUCAAGGAGCUCAGCUGAAGCUGAAUACAGAAGUCUUAGUGUUAGAGUUAGUAUGGUUGCUUGGAGUGCUGAAAGAAAUAAGUGCUGAGGUGUAUUUAACAGCUCAAAUAUAUUGUGACAGCAAAGCUGCAAUCCAAAUUGUAGCAAAUCCAGUUUUUCAUGAAAGAAUGAAGCAUAUUGAGAUUGAUUGUAAUUUCAUAAAGGAGAAGCUACAACAAGGAUUAAUCAAAGUGAAUUAUCUUUCUACUCAAGAGCAAUCUGUUGAUGUUUUGACAAAAGUGCUAUCUAAACUGUAGCAUGAAUAUCUUUUAUCUAAGUUAGGUGUUUUAAAUAUCUUUGCACUACCUAGCUUGAAGGGGGUGUUGAGAUAUAAAUGUGAAUUAGCAUUAGCUGAAGUGUAUAAAGGGCAGAUUAGUUAUUGUAUAAUGGUAGUUAUAACUAACUUGUUCCUUGUAGCUUAUAGUUAGUAAUAAUGGUUAUGUGAACAAGUCGAUAUAUAGCAUCACAAUGCCUUGCAUUAGUUAGUCUUUUGAUGCAUAAUAACAUAAAGCUUCUUCUUCUAUUCUUCUAUUCAUUUCCUUGAUUGCAGUCUUACAUGUACGAACAGUAAAAUUAUAAAGAAAUGACGACAUAGAAAAUAAAAGCUUAGAUGGAUUAUGUGUUGUUGUUUCACGCUCUCAUCCAAAGAUUAAAAUUUAAAAUUUAUCUUGAUUAAUCCUAGAAGACUUAUCUCAAUUCAAACAAACUCGUAUUGAUUCCACACGCCAAAUUUGAGUUAAUGACACUUACCAAGUGGUAAAAUUCCAUAGCGGUUGUCUUCGUUGGUCUCGCCGGCAAUGGCAGUGGUGGAAAUGGGUGGUAUAGCGUGGCAGUUCUUUUGAAA